UACAGAGGGUGCAAGCGUUAAUCGGAAUUACUGGGCGUAAAGCGUGCGCAGACGGUUGCGUAAGUCAGAUGUGAAAGCCCCGGGCUCAACCUGGGAAUUGCAUUUGAGACUGCGUAGCUAGGGUGCGGAAGAGGGAAGCGGAAUUUCCGGUGUAGCGGUGAAAUGCGUAGAUAUCAGGAGGAACACCUGUGGUGUAGACGGCUUUCUGGACCGUAGCUGACGCUGAGACACGAAAGCGUGGGUAGCAAACAGG
rnacentral:rRNA from 1 species